AAUCCAUAGGUUAAUGAGGCGAACCGGGGGAACUGAAACAUCUAAGUACCCCGAGGAAAAGAAAUCAACCGAGAUUCCCCCAGUAGCGGCGAGCGAACGGGGAGGAGCCCAGAGCCUGAAUCAGCAUGUGUGUUAGUGGAAGCGUCUGGAAAGGCGCGCGAUACAGGGUGACAGCCCCGUACACAAAAGCGCAUGUGCUGUGAGCUCGAUGAGUAGGGCGGGACACGUGGUAUCCUGUCUGAAUAUGGGGGGACCAUCCUCCAAGGCUAAAUACUCCUGACUGACCGAUAGUGAACCAGUACCGUGAGGGAAAGGCGAAAAGAACCCCGGCGAGGGGAGUGAAAAAGAACCUGAAACCGUGUACGUACAAGCAGUGGGAGCACAGGUUUACCUGUGUGACUGCGUACCUUUUGUAUAAUGGGUCAGCGACUUAUAUUCUGUAGCAAGGUUAACCGAAUAGGGGAGCCGGAGGGAAACCGAGUCUUAACCGGGCGUUAAGUUGCAGGGUAUAGACCCGAAACCCGGUGAUCUAGCCAUGGGCAGGUUGAAGGUUGGGUAACACUAACUGGAGGACCGAACCGACUAAUGUUGAAAAAUUAGCGGAUGACCUGUGGCUGGGGGUGAAAGGCCAAUCAAACCGGGAGAUAGCUGGUUCUCCCCGAAAGCUAUUUAGGUAGCGCCUCGUGAAUUCAUCUCCGGGGGUAGAGCACUGUUUCGGCUAGGGGGCCAUCCCGGCUUACCAACCCGAUGCAAACUGCGAAUACCGGAGAAUGUUAUCACGGGAGACACACGGCGGGUGCUAACGUCCGUCGUGAAGAGGGAAACAACCCAGACCGCCAGCUAAGGUCCCAAAGUCAUGGUUAAGUGGGAAACGAUGUGGGAAGGCCCAGACAGCCAGGAUGUUGGCUUAGAAGCAGCCAUCAUUUAAAGAAAGCGUAAUAGCUCACUGGUCGAGUCGGCCUGCGCGGAAGAUGUAACGGGGCUAAACCAUGCACCGAAGCUGCGGCAGCGACGCUGAUGCGUUGUUGGGUAGGGGAGCGUUCUGUAAGCCUGCGAAGGUGGCCUGUGAGGGUUGCUGGAGGUAUCAGAAGUGCGAAUGCUGACAUAAGUAACGAUAAAGCGGGUGAAAAGCCCGCUCGCCGGAAGACCAAGGGUUCCUGUCCAACGUUAAUCGGGGCAGGGUGAGUCGACCCCUAAGGCGAGGCCGAAAGGCGUAGUCGAUGGGAAACGGGUUAAUAUUCCCGUACUUGGUGUUACUGCGAAGGGGGGACGGAGAAGGCUAUGUUGGCCGGGCGACGGUU
rnacentral:rRNA from 2 species